CGGACGGGUGAGUAACGCGUGGGUAACCUGCCUCAUACAGGGGGAUAACAGUUGGAAACGACUGCUAAUACCGCAUAAGCGCACAGGAUCGCAUGAUCCGGUGCGAAAAACUCCGGUGGUAUGGGAUGGACCCGCGUCUGAUUAGCCAGUUGGCAGGGUAACGGCCUACCAAAGCGACGAUCAGUAGCCGACCUGAGAGGGUGACCGGCCACAUUGGGACUGAGACACGGCCCAA
rnacentral:rRNA from 1 species